rnacentral:rRNA from 1 species
CCCUUAGAUGUUCUGGGCUGCACGCGCGCUACACUGAUGCACUCAACGAGUUUACAACCUUAUCCGGAAGGAUUGGGUAAUCUUUUGAACGUGCAUCGUGAUGGGGAUAGAUUAUUGCAAUUAUUAAUCUUCAACGAGGAAUUCCUAGUAAGCGCAAGUCAUCAGCUUGCGCUGAUUACGUCCCUGCCCUUUGUACACACCGCCCGUCGCACCUACCGAUUGAAUGGUCCGGUGAAAUCUCGGGACGGCGGCUUGGUCGCUUGCGUCCGACUGCUGAAACUUGAUUAAACCAUAUCAUUUAGAGGAAGGUGAAGUCGUAACA